ensembl:lncRNA
GUCCACAGUCGGCACAGGCACCACCAACGCCAUGCUAGACCCCGCAGACUGAACCGGAGCACUAGAGGGGUUGUCGGAAGAAUUACGCACAUGAUAGGCUUUAAGCAUAUUGACAUGACACAAACGAGAAGAGCGCCUGGUGUCUGGUGUUUUGAUAAUAUAAUUAGUAUCACUAACUUUGCGCUCCACAACAUACGGUCCAGAAAAACUGGCAGACAGUGAUGAACCUGGAAUUGGUAACAAAACCAGUACUUGAUCCCCGGGCAAAAACGCACGGUCUUUUGCUUGUUUAUCAUACUGUUUUUUCAUACGUGACUGAGAGGAAGAGAGAGACUCCUGAGCUAGCAUGCAGGCAGCAUGCAGCCUCUCCCGCAUCUGACUUACAAAGUGUAACACAUUCUUAGGGGUACUACUAGGCGCAUUAGAUAAAACGCGCUCCUUUAACACUUUUAACGGACCCCUAGGUGUGUGUCCGAACACAAGGUCAGCAGGGCUGAACCCCAACGAUUCCUGCACUGUUUCCCUAACAGCAAACAAAACAAAGGGCACCCCCUCAUCCCAAUCAGCACCCGUUUCCAUACAAUACUUCCUCAGCAUGGUUUUGAGCGUCUGGUGCCAGCGUUCCAGAGCUCCCUGACUCUCUGGGUGGUAAGCGCUGGAGACCUGGUGCGAUAUGGACAAUGUUUUUAAUGCAGAAGAAAACAGUUUGGACAUGAAAUUAGUUCCUUGAUCCGUCUGGAUCACUCUGGGGAGACCAAAGGUGGAAAAGAACUUAAUCAGACUCUUAAUAAUUGUCUUAGCUGUAAUUAUCCGGAGAGGAAUAGCCUCCGGGUACCGAGUGGCGCUGCACAUAAUGGUAAGCAGAAACUGGUUACCUGUUCGAGUUUUUGGUAAUGGACCCACACAGUCAACAAUCACCCUCUCAAACGGUUCUCCAAUCACAGGAAUCGGGUGAAGUGGCACACGAGGAACAGGGUUAUGAGCCAGUGACAAUACUUGCUGCCGUAAUGGUGAUGGAACAACUACCUGCCAAACUGUAUCCCAGUCCUCACCUGUUUUAUGUGCAGUCCAUUUACGCAUUAGAACACCAGCGUCCACAAGGUAAGCAGUCUCCUGUACUUUUGCGUUUUCAAAAGAGACCACAGAAUCAAAGCACUUAUUAAGGCUGACAUCCUCUUUUUGCCACUCAAUCAGCCUCUCUGAUGUGAUGGAUGACAACACAUCACCUAACUGGGGAGCGACCCCGCAUCCCCCUUUCUCAGCCUGCACAGAAGGUAAUCCCUCUGGUUUACUCUCUACAUCUACAGUUACACCCCGUUCAAAAACAGUAUCAGACAAAUUCACUGUAUCACACUGUAUUCACAAUUGAUUAUUGAUCCCAAUUAUGGAAGAUUUGCUUCUAUCUGUCCAAUAUUCAUAGCUCUGUGUCUGUUUUAAAAUGUUGGAAAAUCUCAACAUGCCUAAUUGCUAGAGUACAUGACCCCCAUUUCCUUCCAACUCAGCCUCCCCUAUACUUGACUCAGUUGAAACUGCAACACAAUUAUUCUUGUCUCUCAUAUAUUAUAAGAACACAUGUAAACUAAGCUUAAAGUACACA